UACGUAGGGUGCAAGCGUUAAUCGGAAUUACUGGGCGUAAAGCGUGCGCAGGCGGUUAUGCAAGACAGAUGUGAAAUCCCCGGGCUCAACCUGGGAACUGCAUUUGUGACUGCAUGGCUAGAGUGCGGCAGAGGGGGAUGGAAUUCCGCGUGUAGCAGUGAAAUGCGUAGAUAUGCGGAGGAACAUCGAUGGCGAAGGCAAUCCCCUGGGCCUGCACUGACGCUCAUGCACGAAAGCGUGGGGAGCAAACAGG
rnacentral:rRNA from 1 species